rnacentral:rRNA from 1 species
AGCGUAGGCGGAUUUUUAAGUGGGAUGUGAAAUACUCGGGCUCAACCUGAGUGCUGCAUUCCAAACUGGAAGUCUAGAGUACAGGAGGGGAAAGUGGAAUUCCUAGUGUAGCGGUGAAAUGCGUAGAUAUUAGGAAGAACACCGGUGGCGAAGGCGACUUUCUGGACUGUAACUGACGCUGAGGCUCGAAAGCGUGGGGAGCGAACA